UACGAAGGGGGCUAGCGUUGUUCGGAAUUACUGGGCGUAAAGCGUAUGCAGGCGGAUCGUUAAGUCAGGGGUGAAAUCCCGAGGCUCAACCUCGGAACUGCCUUUGAUACUGGGGAUCUCGAGUCCGGGAGAGGUGAGUGGAACUGCGAGUGUAGAGGUGAAAUUCGUAGAUAUUCGCAAGAACACCAGUGGCGAAGGCGGCUCACUGGCCCGGAACUGACGCUGAGGUGCGAAAGCGUGGGGAGCAAACAGG
rnacentral:rRNA from 1 species